ensembl:lncRNA
AUGCAUCCUGGUGCAGGAUCUCUGUCUGUUGCGGCGCAGAAUAAACUUUAUCCGUGUCUGGUGAAAGCCUCUCAUGGAGUGAAUACUUUCAGCACCCUAAUUGCAAUGAUAGCCAUUUUUCUGAUGAGCAUGCAAUUAGCAUCAAUACCAAGAAAUCAUCAUUUUAUUUUGCCGACCAUUGUAAUAUUGGCAUUCACCAUCCUUCAGUUCAUCAUCUCCAUCUGUAUCUCAACAUUUUCCUACAAAGCCAUCAGCAACAACGACUCUACAGUAGUAAAUGUUGCACUAAACUAGGGAAACUGAGUCAUUAUGAAGAGAUCCAUAGGCUCCAAGGAAAUUAAUAUCUCAUAAUAUUGUUGCUUUUUUAAUCUGCUCUAGUGUUACAGUGUUGUAUUUAUGCAUAUUUUGUUAUAUAUUUGAAAACUGUACUUCUGCAUCAGGCCCAUGUAUUUUCAUUUUCAUGUUUGACAUGGAGAAAAAGAUUGUAUUUGUUAACCAAGUUUUUGAAUGAGUAUAUCCUGAACGUGUGUUAAGACCAGUGCUGGGGGCAACGCAUUGAAAGUAAUGUGAGUGACAUAAUCAGAUUACUUUUUUCAAGCAUCUAGUAACUCAUUACUUUUUAAUUUACAGAAAAAAAUUCUGACUUUUUUUCAAAUAAGUAAUACCAGUUUUCCCAUUUACUGACUGACAGCUCUCCUGUUCCUAUGUUGAGAGAAAUCAGGAGUAAGUGCAGAGGCGUUGUUUGCGCUGUGUAAACAUGUUGCUUGCUGAAGUUUUAGACUAAAUGUGAAUAUGCAUUUACAUAUCUCACUUGCACAAAAACAGAUUCAGUAUUCCUAAAAAUUGAAAAAAAUAAUAAAAUAAAAAUAAAAACAGUGAAAUGCAGAUUCAGUAUCAUCAAAAAAAUCCAACAAAAAUAUCCUUUAUGUAUUUAAUCCCAUUUUAUUAACUAUUAUCUUUGCUGCUGACCUUUGAUGAUCCAAUUCAACCAUACUAAUAAAAAAAAUUGUGAAGAGUGCCCUGCAUCUUUUGCAGUCCAGAAUGGCAGCACACCUCAAAAGUCUGUUUGAACUGCAGCCUUUACUAAAUUUUUUUUAGCCUGAUGCUUUUUCAUUUUACUUUUGGUGUGAAAGCACAUAUACAACUUUUCUAUAUUAAAAACAAAAAAGCAAGCCCAGCCCAGAUAAGAAAAAAAGUAACGUUCUGCAUUACUUUCCAUAAAAGUAACUAAGUAACUCAAUUAGUUACUUUUUUAGGGAGUAACACAAUAUUGUAACGCAUUACUUUUAAAAGUAUAACUUUCCCCAACAGACUGUUUUGUCUUGGAGAAAACACACAUGCAGUGGAGAAACACAUGCGCACUAACAAGUGCUUUUCAAAGAUAUUUGUGUUCACAAAUUUCUAUAAUUUAUACGCUACCUUGAAGUUUUGAUUUGAAUUUCUGGAGGAAGAGUGUUUUAUAAUCCUUAAAAAUCUACAGCAAGUUCAUAUGACACAAGCUCCUCCUCAGCGGUUCUUCACAGCGCACACACAAAGAUACCUGAUCAUAAGAGCGAUCAGACAUCCUCAUCAACACAACUCAUUUCACUUCAGGUAAAAUAUUUCAUUUAUUGAUUAUCAUCUAUGAUUAUUUUAAUUAUAGGUCUAUAUUUAUAAACACACUUUGAUAUACAUCAAUCCAAAUUCAACCAUCAUCUUUUGACUGUUUUGAUCUUUCACACCAGUGAUUGUUUUGGUGUAUGUUUUUGCUCAUUUAUUGUUAUACUUUGGUACAUAAAAACUUUAAUUAAAGGUUUUGAGAUUUGUUUGGAUCCCUGUCUAAAAUAUUCUAUAAAUGUAGAAUAAGUUUUU